AUUGAACGCUGGCGGCAUGCCUUACACAUGCAAGUCGAACGGCAGCACGGGAGCAAUCCUGGUGGCGAGUGGCGAACGGGUGAGUAAUAUAUCGGAACGUGCCCAGUCGUGGGGAUAACGUAGCGAAAGCUACGCUAAUACCGCAUACGAUCUAUGGAUGAAAGCGGGGGAUCGCAAGACCUCGCGCGAUUGGAGCGGCCGAUAUCAGAUUAGGUAGUUGGUGAGGUAAAGGCUCACCAAGCCGACGAUCUGUAGCUGGUCUGAGAGGACGACCAGCCACACUGGGACUGAGACACGGCCCAGACUCCUACGGGAGGCAGCAGUGGGGAAUUUUGGGACAAUGGACGCAAGUCUGAUCCAGCCAUUCCGCGUGCAGGAUGAAGGCCCUCGGGUUGUAAACUGCUUUUGUACGGAACGAAAGGUUUCUAUUAAUACUAGGAGCUCAUGACGGUACCGUAAGAAUAAG
rnacentral:rRNA from 1 species